UUGUACACACCGCCCGUCACACCAUGAGAGUUUGUAACACCCAAAGUCGGUGGGGUAACCUUCGGGAGCCAACCGCCUAAGGUGGGACAGAUGAUUAGGGUGAAGUCGUAACAAGGUAGCCGUAGGAGAACCUGCGGCUGGAUCACCUCCUUUCUAAGGAAACAAAUCGGAACCUUACACAUUAGUGGAAACGUUGUUCAGUUUUGAGGGAUUUACCUCACACCAUGUCAGACGAUGACAUGGGGGAUUAGCUCAGAUGGGAGAGCGGCAUCUGCUUGCAGAUGAAUGACAGUGGUUCAAGCCCAUUAUCCUCCAAUCGGUCACGGAAGUGACCAACCUGAAACGUUGUACAUUGAAAACUGAAUCAUGAUUCUUUUUAUUAUUUAAACCGAGAACACCGCGUUUUUGAGUUUUUUAACAAGUUAAAUUGUUUAUCGCUAAACUCAUAACCGCAGUUCGUAUGAACUGUUAGGUUAAGUUAUAAAGGGCGCACGGUGGAUGCCUUGGCACUAGGAGCCGAUGAAGGACGGGACUAACACCGAUAUGCUUCGGGGAGCUGUAAGUAAGCUUUGAUCCGGAGAUUUCCGAAUGGGGAAACCCAAUCAGUUUAACCGCUGAUUAUCACUAGGGGAAUACAUACUCUAGUUGAAGGUAGACGUUGUGAACUGAAACAUCUAAGUACC
rnacentral:misc_RNA from 1 species